rfam:Triticum urartu cultivar G1812 contig1141789, whole genome shotgun sequence.
UGUGUACUCCCUCCGUUCCAAAAUACUUGACUUCCAUUUUUCCAAAAAUGGAUGUACCUAUAUACUAAAACAUGUCUAGAUACAUAUAUAUUUUGACAAAUAGAAGGCAUGUAUUGUGCAACGGAGGGAGUAGAAU